UUGGUUAUUCUAUGUCCUGUUCAAAUUGGAAGAAUAGAAACAGCACAUAGCUUGUGUUUUGACCUCCACAUUACUAAGUUUCAUAUCUUUUGUGCCACAGAAACAUUUGAAGUUAUUAUUCUUAUCGGAACUUGAGCAUAUUCUUGGUUCCUCUGUGAAGUUUAGGAAACUAAGGUCAAAGGAUUUAAUAUUAAAUAACGGUAUGGUGAUCCCAGGGGAUAUAGAUCCAUGAGUCAUCACAAACUUCUAGCUAUUAUUACUACAUUCCUUUGACUCAUCAAUAGCAGCAGUAUUUUCUCGAUUACGUGUUUCCAUCGUAAACUCUUCCCAAUUUAAUUUCAUCACAACUUUACAGAUGAUAACAUAGUCAUAUUGCAAGGUCAGAUAUUUAGGAAGCAUCAUAUUGAAACAUUGACCACACGCCUCAAGAUCAGCAGUAUUCAAUUUGUUUUAACUUUGGCCCCUGGUUAUCACAAUAUACAGGAUGGAUUCAAAUUUAGAAAUUCUGUACUAAGCAUUUACAUUUGAGUUACAUUACUAGAGAUUGACGAAAAUAAAUGCCUGAUAACAUAAAACAUCUGUUUCACCAUUAUCAUACAUUACCGACAGCUUCCAAUCAUGAAAUAUUUAACUUAUCAGUGUGCCUUUGCAAUAUUUUAAUAUUAUUAUUAGCUGCAUCAAACUUGUAGUCACUAACAGUAUUUUGACAAUAACAACAUAGUUUUUUUUUUUAAAUAUCUAAUGAUUGUGUAAUUAACUUAGUCGGAUUGAGAUCUUUAUUUCAAGUAAUUUUACAUUAUUGGUCUAUUUUGUAUCUUACAAAUUUUUGGGUUCACAAUAUGAUUCUCCUCUCCGUAGGGGGGUGGUGUGGCGUUUAAGAACGCACUUUUUUAUGAUGCGUAAGCCGGAACGCACGAGAGGUGGGAAAAAGGAGAUAUUCUGUGACACAGGACCUUUUUACCGCCGAAAAUUUAAAACGUAAAAUAAAACAAUGUGUAUAAUAACUAAUAUAAUAUAAUAACAUAGAAUUGUUUAUGCCGCUACAACAAUAAAAUUUCUAUUGUUUCAA